UACGUAGGGCGCAAGCGUUGUCCGGAAUUAUUGGGCGUAAAGAGCUCGUAGGUGGUUUGUUACGUCUGCUGUGAAAACCCGGAGCUCAACUCCGGGCCUGCAGUCGAUACGGGCAGACUGGAGUUCGGCAGGGGAGACUGGAAUUCCUGGUGUAGCGGUGAAAUGCGCAGAUAUCAGGAGGAACACCGGUGGCGAAGGCGGGUCUCUGGGCCGAUACUGACGCUGAGGAGCGAAAGCGUGGGGAGCGAACAGG
rnacentral:rRNA from 1 species